CCAAAUGCGCCAUUUGCACAGAAGGUCGCAGUUCGUCGUAUGAGCAGUCAAACAACACAUAACUUAUAAGCACAUGACUUUAAAGUUAUUAAAGGACUUUAAAUGAGAUCAUGCUGCAGUGAGAAACCAAGAAAUUCCUAUUGUUGUGUGCCAUUGAGUGUCAUGGAAAAAGGAUAUGGAUUCAGGGAUAAGGAUGUGUGAAGCUGCAGGAAAGCAAGCUGGGAGCUAUAUAACCAGAAUUCCAGGAGAAUCGGGCUGUAGGUCUGUGAAGGGUAUUGUUAUGAGAUGUAGGGAGUUGCUCAACAGAUUGAAUUGUUAAUUGUGAAAUAGUAGUGAGGCAGAAUGGCUACAAAACAUAGACUUCAGAAGAGAAGGCCUGUAUUCUACAUGCUGUAUUGAGGGAACAAUAUUGGAUUUUCAGAUUUCAUGCAAAUAAUAGAAAACAUUUAACAAGUUUAUACUGGGUAUUGAACAAUAUGGUGUACAGAAGUUUGGAUUGUUUUGGCUGGAUAGUUUGUACAGUAUGGUGAAACUAGAGGAUGAAAGCUCACAUACAAGUAGCAAGUCCUCAGUUUUUAGUUAGGAUGAGUUGACAGUGUUUGUACAAGAGAAUGGCUUGUCAAGGUUUGUGAUUGGUCAGUGUCAUCUGAACGUGUCUAGCACCACAGUCCAUAGAGUACAGAAACUUCUCACUGCUGCAUACAACCAUGACUGUGAGCCUUACUCAGAACCUCAUAAAGAACAAAUCUCAACAAGCUACAGUAUUACAUCUGCUGUUUGGUCUGCAGGUAACAAGUCAGCGGUUUGACUUUCAGAUCACAUCAACAGUGUACCCUUGUAAAUUGGUACAGCUUGUGAGCAAGAUAGCAGGCUCGUCUAACAACCUACUG
rnacentral:lncRNA from 1 species